UACGUAGGGAGCAAGCGUUGUCCGGAAUCAUUGGGCGUAAAGCGCGCGUAGGUGGCCUCAUAAGUCCGCUGUGAAAGUCAAAGGCUCAACCUUUGAAAGCCGGUGGAUACUGUGGGGCUAGAGUACGGAAGAGGCGAGUGGAACUCCUGGUGUAGCGGUGGAAUGCGCAGAUAUCAGGAGGAACACCGGUGGCGAAGGCGGGUCUCUGGGCCGAUACUGACGCUGAGGAGCGAAAGCGUGGGGAGCGAACAGG
rnacentral:rRNA from 1 species